rnacentral:rRNA from 1 species
GACGAACGCUGGCGGCGUGCUUAACACAUGCAAGUCGAACGGAAAGGCCCUGCUUUUGUGGGGUGCUCGAGUGGCGAACGGGUGAGUAACACGUGAGUAACCUGCCCUUGACUUUGGGAUAACUUCAGGAAACUGGGGCUAAUACCGGAUAGGAGCUCCUGCUGCAUGGGGGGGGUUGGAAAGUUUCGGCGGUUGGGGAUGGACUCGCGGCUUAUCAGCUGGUUGGGGGGGUAGUGGCUUACCAAGGCUUUGGCGGGUGGCCGGCCUGAGAGGGUGACCGGCCACAUUGGGCCUGCGAUACGCCCCAGACUCCUACGGGAGGCAGCAGUGGGGAAUAUUGCACAAUGGGCCGACGCCUGAUGCAGCAACGCCGCGUGCGGGAUGACGGCCUUCGGGUUGUAAACCGCUUUCGCCUGUGACGAAGCGUGAGUGACGGUAAUGGGUAAAGAAGCACCGGCUAACUACGUG